rnacentral:snRNA from 1 species
UUCUAAAUUCAUGACUUGU